rnacentral:rRNA from 1 species
CGAAUGCUGACAUAAGUAACGAUAAAGCGGGUGAAAAGCCCGCUCGCCGGAAGACCAAGGGUUCCUGUCCAACGUUAAUCGGGGCAGGGUGAGUCGACCCCUAAGGCGAGGCCGAAAGGCGUAGUCGAUGGGAAACAGGUUAAUAUUCCUGUACUUGGUGUUACUGCGAAGGGGGGACGGAGAAGGCUAUGUUGGCCGGGCGACGGUUGUCCCGGUUUAAGCGUGUAGGCUGGUUUUCCAGGCAAAUCCGGAAAAUCAAGGCUGAGGCGUGAUGACGAGGCACUACGGUGCUGAAGCAACAAAUGCCCUGCUUCCAGGAAAAGCCUCUAAGCAUCAGGUAACAUCAAAUCGUACCCCAAACCGACACAGGUGGUCAGGUAGAGAAUACCAAGGCGCUUGAGAGAACUCGGGUGAAGGAACUAGGCAAAAUGGUGCCGUAACUUCGGGAGAAGGCACGCUGAUAUGUAGGUGAAGCGACUUGCUCGUGGAGCUGAAAUCAGUCGAAGAUACCAGCUGGCUGCAACUGUUUAUUAAAAACACAGCACUGUGCAAACACGAAAGUGGACGUAUACGGUGUGACGCCUGCCCGGUGCCGGAAGGUUAAUUGAUGGGGUUAGCGCAAGCGAAGCUCUUGAUCGAAGCCCCGGUAAACGGCGGCCGUAACUAUAACGGUCCUAAGGUAGCGAAAUUCCUUGUCGGGUAAGUUCCGACCUGCACGAAUGGCGUAAUGAUGGCCAGGCUGUCUCCACCCGAGACUCAGUGAAAUUGAACUCGCUGUGAAGAUGCAGUGUACCCGCGGCAAGACGGAAAGACCCCGUGAACCUUUACUAUAGCUUGACACUGAACAUUGAGCCUUGAUGUGUAGGAUAGGUGGGAGGCUUUGAAGUGUGGACGCCAGUCUGCAUGGAGCCGACCUUGAAAUACCACCCUUUAAUGUUUGAUGUUCUAACGUGGACCCGUGAUCCGGGUUGCGGACAGUGUCUGGUGGGUAGUUUGACUGGGGCGGUCUCCUCCUAAAGAGUAACGGAGGAGCACGAAGGUUGGCUAAUCCUGGUCGGACAUCAGGAGGUUAGUGCAAUGGCAUAAGCCAGCUUGACUGCGAGCGUGACGGCGCGAGCAGGUGCGAAAGCAGGUCAUAGUGAUCCGGUGGUUCUGAAUGGAAGGGCCAUCGCUCAACGGAUAAAAGGUACUCCGGGGAUAACAGGCUGAUACCGCCCAAGAGUUCAUAUCGACGGCGGUGUUUGGCACCUCGAUGUCGGCUCAUCACAUCCUGGGGCUGAAGUAGGUCCCAAGGGUAUGGCUGUUCGCCAUUUAAAGUGGUACGCGAGCUGGGUUUAGAACGUCGUGAGACAGUUCGGUCCCUAUCUGCCGUGGGCGCUGGAGAACUGAGGGGGGCUGCUCCUAGUACGAGAGGACCGGAGUGGACGCAUCACUGGUGUUCGGGUUGUCAUGCCAAUGGCACUGCCCGGUAGCUAAAUGCGGAAGAGAUAAGUGCUGAAAGCAUCUAAGCACGAAACUUGCCCCGAGAUGAGUUCUCCCUGACCCUUUAAGGGUCCUGAAGGAACGUUGAAGACGACGACGUUGAUAGGCCGGGUGUGUAAGCGCAGCGAUGCGUUGAGCUAACCGGUACUAAUGAACCGUGAGG